CGUGCAUUAGACUAAUUAACAUACAGACAGUAGAUGUCACAAGAUGUUCUGUUCAGACCAAAUUUAGCCUAGGACAGCAAAAUAAUUACACAAUAACGAUUACGAUAAGUCCAGACACAUAGUCAGGCGGUUCACCCACAUACAGACCACACCCACCAUGCGGGAUAAAUAGCAAAUUAACUAUAAUGUACCAGGUUCCUGUCCUCUGCGCGAUCCAGCCCUGGUUGGUGACUCGUGAGACAGAAACCCAGAUACUCUGUAAGUAUUGUUAUUGCUUGGAGCAAAUAAACAUGAUUUGAUUGAAUGCAUUGAACUCAUGACUGUUUUCUCCCUCUGAAUAUACGAACACACGGCGAGGACAUGGCCGAGGUCUAGGACGAGAAUCCCGCCAAUCAAUUUGGUGACCCCGACGUGAUUCAAGGAGAAACGAUUGUAAGAACAAACUCGAAUACGGGGGACAAGGACGGUGACUGAUUCAGUGCAGACCGGUCAACAAAAAAGAGCCUGCACUACGUGACACAUAGUCAGGUGGUUCACCCACCUACAGACCGCACCCACCAUGCGGGAUAAAUAGCAAAUUAACUAUUGUAUCAGGUUCCUGUCCUGUGCGCGAUCCAGCCCUGGUUGGUGACUCGUGAGACAGAAACCCAGAGACUCUGUAAGUAUUGUUAUUGCUUGGAGCGAAUAAACAUGAUUUGAUUGAAUGCAUUGAACUCAUGACUGUUUUCUCCCUCUGAAUAAACGAACACACGGCGAGGACAUGGCCGAGGUCUAGGACGAGAAUCCCGCCGAACAGUCCCCAGCUACUUCAAACAAGCCAUUAUCCAACCCUUACUCAAGGAACCAAACCUGGAAUCCUCCCAUCCAAAAAACCCAUCUUCAAUAUUUUCAACAUCAGCUUUUCUCUCCCUGUUUAUAUUGGUGGAAUCAGGUGGAAUAAAAAUAACAGUCAAA